rnacentral:rRNA from 1 species
UACGGGGGGGGGCAAGCGUUGUUCGGAAUUACUGGGCGUAAAGGGCGCGUAGGCGGCCUUCUAAGUCGGACGUGAAAUCCCUCGGCUUAACCGAGGAACUGCGUCCGAUACUGAAAGGCUUGAAUCCGGGAGAGGGAUGUGGAAUUCCAGGUGUAGCGGUGAAAUGCGUAGAUAUCUGGAGGAACACCGGUGGCGAAGGCGGCAUCCUGGACCGGCAUUGACGCUGAGGCGCGAAAAGCGUGGGGGAGCGAUCCGG